AUUGAACGCUGGCGGCAGGCUUAACACAUGCAAGUCGAACGAGUGGCGGACGGGUGAGUAAUGCUUGGGAAUCUAGCUUAUGGAGGGGGAUAACUACGGGAAACUGUAGCUAAUACCGCGUACCAUAGGAUGAGCCCAAGUGGGAUUAGGUAGUUGGUGGGGUAAUGGCUCAACAAGGCUACGAUCCAUAGAUGGUCUGAGAGGAUGAUCAGCCACACUGGGACUGAGACACGGCCCAGACUCCGACGGGAGGCAGCAGUGGGGAAUAUGGCACAAUGGGCGCAAGCCUGAUGCAGCCAUGCCGCGUGUAUGAAGAAGGCCUUAGGGUUGUAAAGUACUUUCAGCGGGGAGGCGUUACCCGCAGAAGAAGCACCGGCUAACUCCGUGCCAGCAGCCGCGGUAAUUC
rnacentral:rRNA from 1 species